CAAAUACUCCCUCGGUCCGAAAAUACUUGUCGCACAAAUAGUUACAAAUGGAUGUAUCUAGAACUAAAAUACAUCUAGAUAUAUCCAUUCUCAUGACAAGUAUUUUCAUACGAAGGGAGUACAUC
rfam:Hordeum vulgare subsp. vulgare, WGS project CAJW01000000 data, contig: morex_contig_1574620